AAUGUAGAUGAAAAGAGAGAGAUGCGUCAACGUACCUCUCUAGUGUAGAGCCGUUUGAGACGGUGACCUUUUGGAUUAUUUAAA
rnacentral:sRNA from 1 species